GGUGACGUGCCAGAGCGGUCUAAUGGGGAGGUUUGCAAAACCUUUUUUCGGCGGUUCGAAUCCGCCCGUCACCUCCA
rnacentral:tRNA from 1 species